rnacentral:rRNA from 1 species
AGGGACGAAGGCUUUGUGUAACAAACAGGAUUAGAUACCCUAGUAGUUGAAGCAGAAAAUGAUGAAUGUCAUAGAUUAGACGUCUAAGUUUAUUCUAUAAAUGAAAGUGUAAGCAUUCCACCUCAUGAGUAAUUUGGCAACAUUGGAAUUGAAAUCAUUAGACCGUUUCUGAAACCAGUAGUGAAGUAUGUUGUUUAAUUUGAUAAUACGCAAAAAACCUUACCACAAUUUGAAUAUUUAUAUUUAACAUAUAUCUACAAGCGUUGCACGGCUGUCUUCAGUUAAUGUCGUGAGAUUGGUUAGUUCCAUUAAAUUAACGUAAACCCUGCUUUAUUUUUUAUAUAGAGUAGUUCCCCGCUAUAUUGGAU